GCAAGCUACAUAUACAGAAUAAAAUAAAAGAAGAAUAGCAUUUCGGGGUGGAGGGAAACGCUGAAAAACCAGUACUGGUUAUCGAGCAGCGACACCCUAGAUGGGGUCUAACACAGCAUGACGAAAUAACAUGAAAUAGAAAGCUUAAAAUGAAUAUGAAUGAAAAAGCAAAAUAAUCACACUAAAUAAAAUUGUAUAUUGGAAACGUUCAAGUAUCCACGGCAACUGCUCAGCUGAAGCACUGGCUGCGGGCGAGUGUACAGUUAACGUCAAACCUGAUAGCCGGAAGGAUGUCGGUAUUGCAGUAGGAAAUUAAAGAUUCUAUUCAAUGGAUUGGACAAUAAAUAACAGGUAUUAAAGACCCAACAGCUUGAAGUGUGGUCAAAUGUUGAGCUGACAAUAGUAAGAAAACAAGACUCAGACAUGAUAUCAACUGGAAGAUGUGGCGGCACCGGAUUGUGUUUGUGUUGGUUUGAAGAGUUAUCAAAUUCUUCGCGCUAUUGAGGAGGCAAGCAUCGUCAGCGAAAAGUUUGCUUAAAAGAUUUGAUGAGUUCGAUAAAUCAUUUAUGUAUAAUAAAAAUUUAAGAGCACCCAACACAGAACCUUGAACAACUCAUGGGCAACAUUGGAGACUUAUGAGAAUCCACCUCCACAAAUUGAUAUCUACCAAGCAGGUAAUCACAUAGUAGAUUACCGGCUGUACCUCGAAAACCGUAAUGCUUUAGCUUUUGGAUAAGAAUGUUGUGGUCAACGGUGUCAAACGCUUUCUUUAGAUCUAAGAAGGUACAACAGACAAGCUCACCUUUAUCAAUUUUAUCGUAAAUAUACGAGGUUAGGUCUACAAUAGCAUGGCUGGUAGAAUGACUCGUUUGGAAUCCAAAUUGACAUUUGUUGAUAAGAUUAAAUUUAGAGCAAUAAUUCAGCAUUCUUUCUUUUAUUAUUUUUUCUAGAACAAUGCCUAUGGUGGGGAGGAUGGAAAUUGGCCGAUAAUUGGACGGGUUAUUUUUGUUGCCAUUUUUGAAAAUUGGAAUUACCCUAGCUAUUUUUAAUGAGGAAGGGAAAAUGCCUAAACUAAAUGAUAAAUUGAAGAAAUGACUUAGAGCUGGAGAUACAAUAUCAGCGAUUAUUUUAAGAAAAUAGGUUGGAAUACCAUCUGGACCAACUGCUU